rnacentral:rRNA from 1 species
GACGAACGCUGGCGGCGUGCUUAACACAUGCAAGUCGAACGGAAAGGCCCUGCUUUUGUGGGGUGCUCGAGUGGCGAACGGGUGAGUAACACGUGAGUAACCUGCCCUUGACUUUGGGAUAACUUCAGGAAACUGGGGCUAAUACCGGAUAGGAGCUCCUGCUGCAUAGUGGGGGUUGGAAAGUUUCGGCGGUUGGGGAUGGACUCGCGGCUUAUCAGCUUGUUGGUGGGGUAGUGGCUUACCAAGGCUUUGACGGGUAGCCGGCCUGAGAGGGUGACCGGCCACAUUGGGACUGGGAUACGGCCCAGACUCCUACGGGAGGCAGCAGUGGGGAAUAUUGCACAAUGGGCGGAAGCCUGAUGCAGCAACGCCGCGUGCGGGAUGACGGCCUUCGGGUUGUAAACCGCUUUCGCCUGUGACGAAGCGUGAGUGACGGUAAUGGGUAAAGAAGCACCGGCUAACUACGUG